CUGCAGCCACUUGGGACAUGCCCUAACCCUGAUGCCCCAGGGUGUGAGACCCUCUCAAGCCCACAGCAUUUGUCCUCUGUAUAAAGUACUUCAGAUUUUCUGAGCUGGGAAGGGAGAGGCUGCAAGUUGGGCAGUAGAUGAAGAAGGAGGAAGGGCUCAACAGUGAAAUGUGUGUCAGAAGUGAGGUCAAAUCUCAGCUGCUGUGAUUCCUUCACAUAAAACACCCAAAUGAGAGAAGAGGAGGGAAGAGGUAGGGCGCCACCAGGGCCUUUCUAUAUGUGAUGUAGGAAGAAAAUUCACAUUAUUUGGCACCAGCUGUGCUAGGCAUAGCCCAAAGUCAAGCUUUGCGUGCUGAGACUCAAAAACACUUUGGAGGUGGGGAUUGAUAGGAUGGCUGCAUCACAGUAUGUCCGAGUAAGAGAUGGUACCUGUUGCUUUAAUAAAAAAGCACAGAGGAAAUUGUAGAAAACAGCAGGAACAGGCUCUUGAACAGGGUCAGUAGGUCUUCUACCAUAAACCUUCCUCAACAGUUUGGCUCCAUGACGUGGAGGAAAAGCAGUGUUUCAGUCCAGGCUGUGAUGAAUAGACCUCAAACAAUUUAUUGAUAUUAAAUCAUAAUAAGUCCCUGUUAUUUUCUUUUAUUUGGCAUUUUCUUCUGGAUGUUGAUUCUGCUCUGCUUUGGCCUCCUGCCAAAUGUACAUCAAGUCAGUUCCUAACGCCAUCUCCCCUAUAAAAUAUGAAGUGAAAUAAUUAUAUUUCAGAGCAGUGUAUAGAAAAAAAUAUGGGCAGGUGUAGGGUAAACCCAUAGCUUUAAACAGAUAUAUCACAUGAACUGUUUGUUUAGACCACAUCUAAAUAAUAGGUUCAUCUGUACGAUUCACACACAUGGGACAUAAAGAUAGCUCAGGGACCUCAGUAACCUGUUUGUUGUGAGUCUGAGAGACAAAUUCUUAUACAUCUGCUUAGCCUAAUAUUUAUUUUCAGACUAAUGCAAAUAACGUCUUCAUGUCAUGUAACUAUUGUCAGAGAGAGGUAAAUCCAGAAAAACUCCACUGAACUUAGACCUAGUCACAGCUGU
rnacentral:lncRNA from 1 species